CCCUUAGAUGUUCUGGGCCGCACGCGCGCUACACUGACGAAGUCAGCGAGCAUCUCCUUCGCCGAAAGGUGCGGGGAAUCUUGUGAAACUUUGUCGUGCUGGGGAUUGAUUUUUGAAAUUCUUGAUCAUCAACGAGGAAUUCCUAGUAAGCGCAAGUCAUCAACUUGCGUUGAUUACGUCCCUGCCCUUUGUACACACCGCCCGUCGCUACUGCCAACUGAGAUGGGUCCUGAAUUGUUAGGAACGCCCGUCAAGGGGCCUACCCGAUCCCUAGUGCGGUGACGAGAAUAACUGUAAAUGGCAUAUCUUGUAGGGAGUAAAAGUCGUAACA
rnacentral:rRNA from 1 species